rnacentral:lncRNA from 1 species
GCUCUCUAAACUCAGCCACUAGCAGGGCAUCUGAAGAGCCGCUCAGCUGUGUCCAGCCGGGCGUCGCCCCCUCCUCGGGGACUCCACCUCCUGCAGGCACAGUGGGCCACGCCUGCGUUUCCUCCUGGAAAAGCCUCCGCUCCUACUUCGCCCUCCAUUUCUGUGACUUGGGAGCGUCGGCCAGGCGUCCUUUGGAAAUGUCUGGGGAGCUGUCCCCUGCAGAAAUGGACACUGCCCCCGAAGCCUUGGAAUGUCAUGACUGCCCACGGGAGUGAGGCUUCUUCCACCGCCCUGCCACUCAGAGACACCCAGGAGCCCAGCUGGGGAAGGGUGCACUCCACAGUUAGCCUGUCCG